UCCCGGUACCGGGGCAGCGUGAGCACCAGCACCUUGCAGAUGCCACGCACGAUGCCCUCCGUGAUCCCUGGAGCAACAGAUGUACACAUGUGAACCAUGCUGACUAAGGAAGAGCGUGUUGCGAUUAUCCUGCUCUGUGGAAGAGAGGGAUACUCCCAGAGAGACGUGGCAACACAUUUCAAUGAGCUUUACCCUGAACGACAGCCAGUGUCGCAAAGCACUGUUAGCCGCCUGCUUGAAAAAUUUAAGGAAACAGGAAGUGUGGCUGAUGCAACCAGAUAAGGACGACCAAGCACUCCAAGAGAGGUGCAGGAAACUGUUUUGGCGAGGGUUGUAGCAAGUCCCAAGAAAUCCAUUCGACGAACCAGCUUGGAAUUGGGUGUUCCUCGGUCAACCGUUCAGCGAAUCCUGAAAAAGCACAACUUCCACCCUUACAAGUUGCAAUUGUUGCACCACAUGUCUGAAGAUGAUCCGGACCGACGUGUGGAAAUGUGCAAUUGGUUUCUGGAAAAACUGGAGCAGGACGAAGACUUCUUGUCCACAGUGAUGUUCUCCGAUGAGGCAAACUUAUACGUUAAUGGUGAGGUGAACCGCCAAAAUGUGCGCUACUGGUCCGACGCAAAUCCACACUGGAAUACCGAUGCCAAACAACAAGGAGCUGCCCGGAUUAUGGUGUGGUGUGCUUUAUGGAAUGACCAAGUCGUCGGCCCUUACGUUUUUGAGGGAACUGUCACAAGUGAAAAGUACCUGGACAUGUUGGGAAAUUCAUUGAUGCCUGAUUUGCACAUAAUUGGUGCUAAACCUCAAUGGUUUAUGCAGGAUGGUGCUCCUCCCCAUUAUGGCGCGCAGGUUCGUCAUUGGUUAGACGACAACAUUCCACAGUGGAUUGGCCGAAGGGGAACUGUGGAAUGGGCUCCUCGAUCUCCGGAUUUAAACCCAAUGGACUUUGCUGUAUGGGGAUAUCUCAAAUCCAAAGUGUACAGUGUGAAGAUCAGGGACAUACACCAUUUGCGUGAGCGAAUUGCUUCCGAAUGCCGCGCUAUGACGCCAAUUGUGGUACAAAACAUUCUGCGAAACAUGAAAGAUCGCCUGCAGCUGUGUUGUGAGCUUUCAGGCACUCACGUGGAGCACAUUUUAUGAAUUGUUUCACACUACUGUAACAAGUUAGUGUUCUUCCUAUGAUGCGGGACUUUUGGGACAUCCUGUAUGAAAAAAUAUAAUUAAUUAAUAUUUUGAGUUUUAUGAAUUUCUUGCAAACAUCAGUACUUGAAAAAAAAAAUAUGUAUAAAUCCAUAAAUUUUUAAUGACUAUUCAAAACCUCAGAAA